rnacentral:lncRNA from 1 species
UAUUAUAAUCAUGCUGUUUUAAUAUACGACAGGAUGUAUUUUUUUCUGUUGCCUGUCUAUAUUUAUUUCAAUUUAAGAGUUAUACUUGUUUUGUAAAAUGUACACUUAUUUUAUUUCCCAAUCUGUUUUGAUGUAGUAAUAGUUAUUUUUUUAUUGUUAAGAUAAUGCCAAAGAACUGUUUAAAAGUUUAUUUAUAACAAAUGUAACUAUUGUACAUACAAUGUAUACCUGAGUUUAUAUAUAUAUAUAUAUAUUUAUUACAUAAAAGCCAUUUCCAAUAAGUUCUAUUAUUAGUAUAUACACACAAUUACAAAAUAAAUGAUAUUGCCUCAUACUUAAAUAUGAAUCUAUAUCAGAUUAACCGUAUCAUAUUUUAUAUGUUUUUUUAUCGCGUUUAUAUAACACCAGAGGCAUGUUUGUUAUUCCACUAAAUAUAUUUCAUAUGAUGUUUCUGUGGACCGACAACUGUAAAACCUUUCAUGAAUUUAAAACAUAUGAAAUAUACACAUAUUUAUUAAGAUUCAAAUUAGUCUGCUAGAAAUCUUUUAUUAACAGAUGGUAUGAAACAUGUAAAAUAUUAAUAAAUUUUAUUAACAGUAACAGCAAGUUAACAAUAAAAAGUCAUAAUGUAUAUGAUUUGUUUUUAAAGAUGCAUUUCUAUAAUGUCGUCUUCUUCAGAUAUUCAACUAUCUUUAGAUAGUUUAUAUUUAACUAAAUAUAUAUUAUUUUGAAUAAACUGAACAUUCUUAUCUAAUGUUUUUUUAUUUAUUUAUGUA